rnacentral:rRNA from 1 species
UGCAGUCGACGACCUUCGGGUUAGUGGCGGACGGGUGAGUAACGCGUGAGAAUCUGCCCUCAGGAGGGGGAUAACAGUUGGAAACGACUGCUAAUACCCCAUAUGCCGAGAGGUGAAACGAAUUUUGCCUGGGGAUGAGCUCGCGUCUGAUUAGCUUGUUGGUGGGGUAAAAGCCUACCAAGGCUUCGAUCAGUAGCUGGUCUGAGAGGACGAUCAGCCACACUGGGACUGAGAUACGGCCCAGACUCCUACGGGAGGCAGCAGUGGGGAAUUUUCCGCAAUGGGCGCAAGCCUGACGGAGCAACGCCGCGUGAGGGAUGAAGGCCUUUGGGCUGUAAACCUCUUUUCUCAAGGAAGAAGAUCUGACGGUACUUGAGGAAUAAGCCACGGCUAAUUCCGUGCCAGCAGCCGCGGUAAUACGGGAGUGGCAAGCGUUAUCCGGAAUUAUUGGGCGUAAAGCGUCCGCAGGCGGCCGUUUAAGUCUGUUGUUAAAUCGUGGAGCUCAACUCCAUCACGGCAAUGGAAACUGUUCGGCUUGAGUAUGGUAGGGGCAGAGGGAAUUUCCGGUGUAGCGGUGAAAUGCGUAGAUAUCGGGAAGAACACCAGUGGCAAAAGCGCUCUGCUGGGCCAUUACUGACGCUCAUGGACGAAAGCCAGGGAGCGAAAGGGAUUAGAUACCCCUGUAGUCCUGGCCGUAAACGAUGAACACUAGAUGUUGGGGGAAUCGACCCCUCCGGUGUCGUAGCUAACGCGUUAAGUGUUCCGCUGGGAGUACGCACGCAAGUGUGAAACUCAAGGAAUUGACGGGGCCGCACAGCGG